rnacentral:rRNA from 1 species
CCUACGGGAGGCAGCAGUGAGGAAUAUUGGUCAAUGGCCGGGAGGCUGAACCAGCCAAGUCGCGUGAGGGAAGACGGCCCUACGGGUUGUCAACCUCUUUUGUCAGGGAGCAAGGUGCAGGUCGGGACCUGCUGUGAGAGUACCUGAAGAAAAAGCAUCGGCUAACUCCGUGCCAGCAGCCGCGGUAAUACGGAGGAUGCGAGCGUUAUCCGGAUUUCUUGGGUUUAAAGGGUGCGCAGGCGGAGGCACAAGUCAGCGGUAAAAUCGCGGGGCUCAACCCCGCUCCGCCGUUGAAAAUGUGUCGCUUGAGUGCGCGAAGGGUAGGCGGAAUGCGUGGUGUAGCGGUGAAAUGCAUAGAUAUCACGCAGAACUCCGAUCGCGAAGGCAGCCUACCGGCGCGCAACUGACGCUCAUGCACGAAAGCGUGGGUAUCGAACAGGAUUAGAUACCCGAGUAGUC